rnacentral:rRNA from 4 species
AAAUUGAAGAGUUUGAUCAUGGCUCAGAUUGAACGCUGGCGGCAGGCCUAACACAUGCAAGUCGAACGGUAACAGGAAGCAGCUUGCUGUUUCGCUGACGAGUGGCGGACGGGUGAGUAAUGUCUGGGAAACUGCCUGAUGGAGGGGGAUAACUACUGGAAACGGUAGCUAAUACCGCAUAACGUCGCAAGACCAAAGAGGGGGACCUUCGGGCCUCUUGCCAUCGGAUGUGCCCAGAUGGGAUUAGCUUGUUGGUGGGGUAACGGCUCACCAAGGCGACGAUCCCUAGCUGGUCUGAGAGGAUGACCAGCCACACUGGAACUGAGACACGGUCCAGACUCCUACGGGAGGCAGCAGUGGGGAAUAUUGCACAAUGGGCGCAAGCCUGAUGCAGCCAUGCCGCGUGUAUGAAGAAGGCCUUCGGGUUGUAAAGUACUUUCAGCGGGGAGGAAGGGAGUAAAGUUAAUACCUUUGCUCAUUGACGUUACCCGCAGAAGAAGCACCGGCUAACUCCGUGCCAGCAGCCGCGGUAAUACGGAGGGUGCAAGCGUUAAUCGGAAUUACUGGGCGUAAAGCGCACGCAGGCGGUUUGUUAAGUCAGAUGUGAAAUCCCCGGGCUCAACCUGGGAACUGCAUCUGAUACUGGCAAGCUUGAGUCUCGUAGAGGGGGGUAGAAUUCCAGGUGUAGCGGUGAAAUGCGUAGAGAUCUGGAGGAAUACCGGUGGCGAAGGCGGCCCCCUGGACGAAGACUGACGCUCAGGUGCGAAAGCGUGGGGAGCAAACAGGAUUAGAUACCCUGGUAGUCCACGCCGUAAACGAUGUCGACUUGGAGGUUGUGCCCUUGAGGCGUGGCUUCCGGAGCUAACGCGUUAAGUCGACCGCCUGGGGAGUACGGCCGCAAGGUUAAAACUCAAAUGAAUUGACGGGGGCCCGCACAAGCGGUGGAGCAUGUGGUUUAAUUCGAUGCAACGCGAAGAACCUUACCUGGUCUUGACAUCCACAGAACUUUCCAGAGAUGGAUUGGUGCCUUCGGGAGCUGUGAGACAGGUGCUGCAUGGCUGUCGUCAGCUCGUGUUGUGAAAUGUUGGGUUAAGUCCCGCAACGAGCGCAACCCUUAUCCUUUGUUGCCAGCGGUCCGGCCGGGAACUCAAAGGAGACUGCCAGUGAUAAACUGGAGGAAGGUGGGGAUGACGUCAAGUCAUCAUGGCCCUUACGACCAGGGCUACACACGUGCUACAAUGGCGCAUACAAAGAGAAGCGACCUCGCGAGAGCAAGCGGACCUCAUAAAGUGCGUCGUAGUCCGGAUUGGAGUCUGCAACUCGACUCCAUGAAGUCGGAAUCGCUAGUAAUCGUGGAUCAGAAUGCCACGGUGAAUACGUUCCCGGGCCUUGUACACACCGCCCGUCACACCAUGGGAGUGGGUUGCAAAAGAAGUAGGUAGCUUAACCUUCGGGAGGGCGCUUACCACUUUGUGAUUCAUGACUGGGGUGAAGUCGUAACAAGGUAACCGUAGGGGAACCUGCGGUUGGAUCACCUCCUUACCUUAAAGAAGC